rnacentral:misc_RNA from 1 species
AGUCCCAAAAUUUAAUUACAAACUUUAUGAUUAAAUACAAAAUAUAAUGACAAAAAGAUUUUCUGUAACUCAUGGGCCUUACCAAAAAUACACUAUUGAGGUUACCACUCUUGUACUGCAGAUCUGAUCACUACUGGUACUUGUCUCCGAUAACUCACUUGACUAAUUAUUUCUCUUGCCAAAACUUCGAUAUUCUUCAAUUCUUUUGCUCCCAAUCACUCUAGCUAGGUCAAAUAUCAAAGUUUAAUGUUGGGGGCUAUGGGAAUUAUGGUGAGAAUGCAAGGAAAAUAGAGCUUGGAAGAAGAGAAUCAAUGGUGGAAGGCUAUGGAGGUGGUUCGGCCAUGGGAGGGAGAAGAGAUG